UAUGUCGCUGGCGGUAGGCCUAGACAUGCAAGUCGAGCGGAUGAAGGUAGCUUGCUAUCGGAUUCAGCGGCGGACGGGUGAGUAAUGCCUAGGAAUCUGCCCGGUAAUGGGGGAUAACGUUUCGAAAGGAACGCUAAUACCGCAUACGUCCUACGGGAGAAAGCAGGGGACCUUCGGGCCUUGCGUUAUCGGAUGAGCCUAGGUCGGAUUAGCUAGUUGGUGAGGUAAUGGCUCACCAAGGCGACGAUCCGUAACUGGUCUGAGAGGAUGAUCAGUCACACUGGAACUGAGACACGGUCCAGACUCCUACGGGAGGCAGCAGUGGGGAAUAUUGGACAAUGGGCGAAAGCCUGAUCCAGCCAUGCCGCGUGUGUGAAGAAGGUCUUCGGAUUGUAAAGCACUUUAAGUUGGGAGGAAGGGCAGUCAGUUAAUACCUUGCUGUCUUGACGUUACCAACAGAAUAAGCACCGGCUAACUUCGUGCCAGCAGCCGCGGUAAUACGAAGGGUGCAAGCGUUAAUCGGAAUUACUGGGCGUAAAGCGCGCGUACGUGGUUCAGCAAGUUGGAUGUGAAAGCCCCGGGCUCAACCUGGGAACUGCGUCCAAAACUACUGAGCUAGAGUACGGUAGAGGGUGGUGGAAUUU
rnacentral:rRNA from 1 species